rnacentral:rRNA from 1 species
AGUGAACGCUGGCGGUAGGCCUAACACAUGCAAGUCGAACGGCAGCACAGUAAGAGCUUGCUCUUACGGGUGGCGAGUGGCGGACGGGUGAGGAAUACAUCGGAAUCUACUUUUUCGUGGGGGAGAACGUAGGGAAACUUACGCUAAUACCGCAUACGACCUACGGGUGAAAGCAGGGGAUCUUCGGACCUUGCGCGAGUGAAUGAGCCGAUGUCGGAUUAGCUAGUUGGCGGGGUAAAGGCCCACCAAGGCGACGAUCCGUAGCUGGUCUGAGAGGAUGAUCAGCCACACUGGAACUGGGACACGGUCCCGACUCCUACGGGAGGCAGCAGUGGGGAAUAUUGGACAAUGGGCGCAAGCCUGAUCCAGCCAUACCGCGUGGGUGAAGAAGGCCUUCGGGUUGUAAAGCACUUUUGUUGGGAAAGAAAAGCAGCAGGUUAAGACCCCGCUGUUCUGACGGUACCCAAAGAAUAAGCACCGGCUAACUUCGUG